AUUGCUGGGCCAGCCAGGAAAAAAAAAGAAAAAGAAAGAACAUGAAAACCACUCGAUUUCAACCUUCAACGUUCCGUCAUCCAUUCGCUUUGGGGGCCUGGAAUCGUGACCGACCAAGUCAAGAUAUACACACCACCACCUGCUCUCCCUCCUUGCUGUUUAUUCCCCCCCACCACCCACCUUUGCCGGCCUGACCAGGGAGCCCCUCUGAGCAUAUUUGAAGCCUGACAAAAUCCAGCCCAGCCAAAAAGCCCACAAGACCCACACACACAGUGAAAAGAAAAAGGGGGAGGAGGAGCCCGGUGGUGGGUUGAGAUCACGGGGUCUCCGACCGAGCAGCAGCAGUGCCACGACUUCUUCUUCUUCUUCUUCUUUUUGGCUUUUAUACUUUGCGUACUGCUGCUGCUGCUACUAGAGUGAAGAAACCGAACCGAACCAACCAUCACGGCCGUACAUGGCCCGCGGCGGAGCCGGCUAGAAAGAAAAAGGGACGACUCGCCGCUGCUGCUGCGGGUGUACAGUAAGGCGAUUCUACUUUCAGCUGGGCGGCCAGACUGGACUGGCGGGUUGGUGGCAUCGUGACAGAAAGUCGGGCGGAUCGAGUCGGAGGCAUCGAGUGGGUGUAGUAGCGACGGGAGGAGAUGGAGAGACUGGUGUGAGGACUUACACGUUUUUACCGUGACCUCCCACUCCCGGCGCGCCUGUUUGGACCGUGUCCUAGACCAUUACAUCACCCCACAAUAUCGUCAUCCAAAGCCUCUAGAUGAUUUUCUUGGGCGACUAGAAUAAUACCGUCUCUUGGAUAGUGAAAGUUACUUCUUUCGUCCGGUUUGCCCGGAACGGCGCUGGCAUCCGGCUGUUGACGCACUUGUCAUCAUUUGUAUUGACUAUGUACACGAGAUAAAAGCCUUCGGGGUAUUGAUUUUUCUGCGCGCGUUUCAAUCAAUCACAUCCAUCAGACGUGGAUUAAGGCAUUGCCAAGGAAUGAUGAUGAUUAUCAUUUCUAAAAAUACUUCCGUUUUAUUUUGUUUUCAAAGCAUUUACCUGCACGAUGAUUGUUGAUUGGCCGGUCAUCGUUUGACGUUUUACAGGCAAUCCGGAAAUGGGACCCAAAAAACUGAUACGAGGAUUAUUACUUGAGGACUUUGAACCGAUACCGUCAGGCAAAUAUCGUCGGGAGAUUUGGAGGAGACGGCCACCUGCGACGCCGACGUCGGGAACGUGAAUUUAAAGAUGCGGUUCUGCGACGGAGUGACCCACAUGCGACGCUCCUCUUCCAACCUAAGGACAAACAUUUGACUUUAUAGAAAGAGAUCCUCUAAGUGAUCCUUUAUGAACUCACCGCACGUGCAGCUGAGCGUCGACCGACAUUUUCAGACUGAACGUCACGUUCGAUCGGCUCGACGUGGAAAUAUCGACAACGAUUUGGUUGAUGGAUCCCAUCCAUGUCGUCGAUUCAGGGCACAACGUCCUCCGGAAGCUGUUGUAACCUAAUCUCGUGUACUGGUAGCCGGGCGAUGACUCGAUGACAUAAGGCAGUUCCCAAGAAGUAAUGGCCUUUUGUUGUCGCACCACAAAAAGGAUCGGAUGUUCGACGCCGGCGUCGCUACUUUCAACGCUGACGGCGAAAUUCGUCUUGAGCUGCGACAAAAAGUAGGAAUAGAUGAGUCGGUAUUCCAGCGAGUGGUUCAAUGUUUUGUCGUAGAUCUGACUGAAACUGGCCUGGAUCACUUCGAUGCAGUUGUUUUCACGCCGGUCGUCGACGGACGAGAGGCACGUCAUGGCAUUCGAUUUGGGCCGAACUUUUGUAUCCGUCCAGUUUAUCGCUUUGGACCAUUUGUCUUAUCAAUCACAACAAAUUGAAUCCAAAAAUGCAUCAACUUUUGUUUUAAAUAUUUUUUUGUUUUACCUUUGGUCAGGGGAUCUUCGUUUUCACUCGCCAAAACGCCACGGCUGCCCGGCUGAAUCGACACUAAAACGGACACUAUUAGCAGACACAAGAGAAAAUUGUGCAGAGUAAAUGGUCGACACGGCCAAGUCCAAUUGGAAUCGUGAAUGCUCAUUAUCGACUGACAUGGAUAUCCUCGUUGGGAGAAGAGAAGAACUACAAUCCUAUCCGCACUGUCGGACAAUGGACUAAUAUUUUUCGGUCGAGUUCAUUUCAGUUUCAACUGUCCAACGCGAAAGAUGUCUGUCCCAGAUAUUCCAGCAGAUGUUUGCAUCAAAAGUCUCGUUUUCUUUGAUUUGGAGACCACCGGCCUGCCCAGCGACCACCCGGCCAGGAUCACUGAAUUGAAUUUUUGUGGUGUCGAUCGAUCCCAGUUUAUCGGAUGCAUGGCCAAAAAAUGCCUCGCGUCACCAAUCGUUUAAAUUUGUGCAUCGAUCCAUCCCGUCCGAUUGAUCCGGUGGCGACUGACAUGUCGAAACUUGAUAAUGCCAAUCUCGGCCAGCAGAGCAAAUUUGACGAAAAUGUGUACAACAUCAUCGUCAGUUUCCUUGAAAGGCUUCAAAAGCCCAUCUGCUUGAUUGCCCAUAACGGUACGAAAUUCGAUUUCCCCAUC